GAUGAACGCUGGCGGCGUGCCUAAUACAUGCAAGUCGAGCGAACAGGCGAGGAGCUUGCUCCUUUGACGUUAGCGGCGGACGGGUGAGUAACACGUGGGUAACCUACCUAUAAGACUGGGAUAACUUCGGGAAACCGGAGCUAAUACCGGAUAAUAUUUCGAACCGCAUGGUUCGAUAGUGAAAGAUGGCUCUGCUAUCACUUAUAGAUGGACCUGCGCCGUAUUAGCUAGUUGGUAAGGUAACGGCUUACCAAGGCAACGAUACGUAGCCGACCUGAGAGGGUGAUCGGCCACACUGGAACUGAGACACGGUCCAGACUCCUACGGGAGGCAGCAGUAGGGAAUCUUCCGCAAUGGGCGAAAGCCUGACGGAGCAACGCCGCGUGAGUGAUGAAGGUCUUCGGAUCGUAAAACUCUGUUAUUAGGGAAGAACAAACGUGUAAGUAACUGUGCACGUCUCGACGGUACCUAAUCAGAAAGCCACGGCUAACUACGUG
rnacentral:rRNA from 1 species